AAAUAUUUAAGUUGUAUUAAUAUUAAUAAUAACCCUUUAUUCACUUUUAGCGUAUUACAUUUUGGCGCCUAAUGUGCCUGGUAUGGUUGAUUCUCUAAAUGAUCUGAAGUUUCCUGUAAAGUCAGAAAAUGCUCUCUCUCUGUGGCCAUGGACACGUGCACACACACAGUGAACAUUCAAUCAACCCUUUUUGAUCUACGUGAUUCCACCCAAACAUUUUUCCUCACCAAAUCCCUGAAGUUUUUUUGUUGUUGUUAAAUUUACUAAUUUAGUCAGUAAGAAAGAUAAGCAAGAAUGUAUUGGCGAAGUCACCUAUCUCUUCAAACAGCUGAUGUUCCUGCAAAUCAGAAUUGAUUUGAACUAAGGUGAAUGAUAAACAUGCGCUGUCAGACUGCCUCCUGGGAGCCGACUGGUUGGUACAGGGAGAAGAUACUAGGAAUUUCUGAAUUGUAGAAUUACUCCUCUCCCAUGGGUUUCUGCAUUCAAGUCUUCCAAAACUCAAGGAACUAUAGAGAUUUUUCCUGGGUUACAGCAAAGGUGAUUGUGGAAGAACGAGAUGGAUUGAUGUCCCGGAAAGUGAUGAGGGAGAUCGGGGCCCGGCUUCACACAUCACAGGCAGUGCCCUCCACUCCGACCUGGAGGGCACCACCUCAUGGUGUGAGGGGGGCUCGGGCUCCACAUCCAUUAACUCCUUGGCUUCUCGUUUGAAACUGACAACGGGGUGAUGUGGGCAACUGUCCAUAUGGAACAGGACAGCGACCAUCAACUCAUUCCAUAUGGGCCACCAGACAGCACCUAGAGGUAAUAACAUUCUGUCAAUAGUGACCUGGGUUGGAUUCAAAUCAGUGAUUUAGGGGUGAAAGGCG
rnacentral:lncRNA from 1 species